rnacentral:lncRNA from 1 species
AGGGAGACUAGCACAGGCCGGCAGAGAAGUGACCCAGCCCCGGAUUGCCUGGUAACCUUCCGUUCCCAGGAGGCUGCUGUGAGGCUCCUCUGGCUUCAUGGAGUAUAAUGGACCCACAGCCAUCUCCUUCCCCAACACCAACUCUGCCUGCAUUUUAGGCCAGGAAGUGAGAGUUCAGAGAGCAGAGACAACUGUCCAGAGCUAGACCUUGAAGACUCCUCAACGCUGAAGGUCACCGAGAGGAGGGACAGCCAAGGAAACUGAGUCGCAGCAGCCGUGGAGGCAGGCGGGCACUAGGAUCAAGUCAUCAAAGGUCCCAGGAGGCUGCCAGGCUGGCUGGACAGCCGAGGAGACAAGAGCUGCUCAGCUGACCCUGCCAGACUCCAGUGUGUCCAGCAAGCAGCAGCCACUUCCAGGCUCACGGGCACUCACUGGUGACAUGUGCACAGCCUCCAGCCUCUCUGAAGGCUCCUUACCCCUCUAAGUUCAGCUGAAGGGCUUAUUCAGGCUCUCCCCUAAUCAGGGCCCCUGCCACCAGCCUUUCCCCACCCUGCAACCCACCAGUGAUGGGUACAAAGACGUGCCAUCACUCCCACUAUCUGUAGAACAGCCCAGAACUGAUGAGGGUUUAAUGCUGUCCACAGCAAACCUCACCAAUAAGAGUUUGGCUUAUGUCCUCAGAUGAUUCUAACAGAAUGGAGUCCAGGCGCCCACACUAGCAACAGGCUUUUAAUGCAGCCACUGUUGGCUCCCCGUCUCCUGUCCCCCUUCCCCCUCCCCUCCCUUGUGCCUCGGAAUCACCUGACACAUAAACCUCCUGCGCCCAGAUCCUUGUCUCAGAACUGCCAUUCCAAGUCUCUCCCAGCCUUGAUCUCACCCCCCUGCUUCACUCAUAUGGCUCAUGCCUGUAAUCCCAGCGCUUUGGCAGACUGAGGCAGAAGAACCACUUGAGCCCAGGCA